AUAUUAUUAAGCGGAGGAAAAGAAACUAACAAGGAUUCCCCUAGUAACGGCGAGUGAAGCGGGAAGAGCUCAAAGUUAAAAUCGGGGUAUCUAGCGGUACUUCCGAAUUGUAAUCUAGAGACACUUUUUCAGCCUCGACCCGGGUGUAAAUCUUUUGGAACAAGGUAUCAGAUGAGG
rnacentral:rRNA from 1 species